rnacentral:lncRNA from 1 species
AACAAUAACACUAAGCCUCUUAUUUAUUUCAAUAAAAAUAACAACAAUAACACAAACUUUUAACAUAACUCAACAAAAAUAACAUUAACUUAUCUAAACAAAUACAACAAUAUAACUCAACAAAAACAAUAACAAUAACACAUAACUUUGACUUAUCUCAACAAAAACAACAAUAUAACUCAACAAAACAACAACAAAACUCAAUAAAUACAACAACAAUAACACAAACAUUUUGUGAAACCUUG